UGCUUAUAAUAAGUUAUAUUUAAUCAUAACCGUCGGAUUAUCUAGGGCUAAUCAUAUCCUUACGUUUAAGGUAUAAAAAGGAAAGGCUAAACCUAAAACAUCAUUCUCUUUUUUUCUUCUGCCUCUUCUGCUCGUUCUCUUCUUCUGUGUUCUUCGGCUGGAGGAGAAUUAGAAAUGAUAGUGAGAGAUUGAGACCGAGAGUUGAGGGGAAAGGUUUCGUUGGUGUUAAUAAUAGUGUUACUGAUGUUAAUUAAGUAAAAAGAAGAUGAUGAAGAAGUUGUGAAUUAAAAAGGAAAAAAGUUGGGUUUUCUCUGUGGUUAAGAUUGAGUUUGAAAUUGAGGAAAUAUAGAUCGACGUAUGGUUGUUGGUAGUGUUGAGGAAAUAUACUUCUGUGGGAAAUUUCAAGAUGUUUCAUAUCUGGUCAUUAAUUCGAAUCCAGGAGUAAUCACUUUGAUGAUGCUAACAAAAAUCAGAUGGUUGUAGGGAAGAAAGAAACACCCCAUCUCGUACAACGUGGUAAACAACUAAUUGGUAACUAUCUUCUUCAAUCGAUU